GAAUCCUGAGCUUACAUUUCACCGACCUCGCAAUGGCGAGACGAAACGAAAGUGGGAGGCAGCGAUCGCCAGCCAUUGCUGUGGUGUGGCCCAAGGACUGAAUGUUUCACGCGUCUGUUCGUGUCAUUUCGCCGACGACGCCUAUUUUGAUGACGAUGUAUUGCAAGUUCGACUCGGGCUACAGCAGAAACGAAAGCGGCUGAAGAUUGACGCCGUGCCUACCAUAUUCGAUCGGGAACAAGGGCAGGAACCAGUAACGGAGGCGGCAGCAAGCACGUCAACGGGAUCAACUGGAUUUGAUGUGGAGGUCAUGGCUGAAGCAAGUGCUGGGGACCCACUUCCCACUUCAAG